rnacentral:rRNA from 1 species
CAUGCAAGUCGAACGGAGCUGAGAGGAGCUUGCUUUUCUUAGCUUAGUGGCGAACGGGUGAGUAACGCGUGAGUAACCUGCCCUGGAGUGGGGGACAACAGUUGGAAACGACUGCUAAUACCGCAUAAGCCCACGACCCGGCAUCGGGAAGAGGGAAAAGGAGCAAUCCGCUUUGAGAUGGCCUCGCGUCCGAUUAGCUAGUUGGUGAGGUAACGGCCCACCAAGGCGACGAUCGGUAGCCGGACUGAGAGGUUGAACGGCCACAUUGGGACUGAGACACGGCCCAGACUCCUACGGGAGGCAGCAGUGGGGGAUAUUGCACAAUGGGGGAAACCCUGAUGCAGCGACGCCGCGUGGAGGAAGAAGGUUUUCGGAUUGUAAACUCCUGUCGUUAGGGACGAUAAUGACGGUACCUAACAAGAAAGCACCGGCUAACUACGUGCCAGCAGCCGCGGUAAAACGUAGGGUGCAAGCGUUGUCCGGAAUUACUGGGUGUAAAGGGAGCGCAGGCGGGAAGACAAGUUGGAAGUGAAAACCAUGGGCUCAACCCAUGAAUUGCUUUCAAAACUGUUUUUCUUGAGUAGUGCAGAGGUAGAUGGAAUUCCCGGUGUAGCGGUGGAAUGCGUAGAUAUCGGGAGGAACACCAGUGGCGAAGGCGGUCUACUGGGCACCAACUGACGCUGAGGCGCGAAAGUGUGGGGAGCAAACAGGAUUAGAUACCCUGGUAGUCCACACCGUAAACGAUGGAUACUAGGUGUAGGAGGUAUCGACCCCUUCUGUGCCGCAGUUAACACAAUAAGUAUCCCACCUGGGGAGUACGACCGCAAGGUUGAAACUCAAAGGAAUUGACGGGGG